ACUGUUGGAAGAAAAAAUGGCUUCAGGAGCAUUGUUUGGCAGUACCGGGCGUUCCCAGAGUAAAAAUCUGGUCGAAUUCAGGGCCGGUAAAAUGUUUAUGAAGGGUAAAAUGGUCCAUCCUGACAAGAGGAAGGGAAUGGUAUACGUCUACCAGUCGGACGAUGCUCUGAUGCACUUCUGUUGGAAAGACCGUACGAACGGAACCGUUGAGGAUGAUUUAAUCAUAUUUCCAGAGGACACAGAAUUUAAACUUGUACCACAAUGCACCACUGGGCGAGUCUAUGUACUAAAGUUCAAGUCGCCUGCACGGAAAUUCUUCUUCUGGAUGCAGGAACCGAAGACUGACAAGGAUGAGGAGUUCUGUAAGAAGGUCAAUGACAGCCUGAACAACCCCCCAACCCCUGGUUCCAGUAGAGGAGGCGGACUAGCCUCGGGGCUCCCCUCAGAGCUCAGUGGACUGGGUGACCAGGAUUUACAGAACAUCCUUGGAGGAAUGAGUCAGCAACAGUUUAUGCAGCUUAUUGGUGGUAUCGGAAUGGGAGGACCAGGUGGGGGUCUGUCUGCCCUGAUGGGAGGAAGACCAAGCAGUGCCCAGUCAACUGCAUCAGAACCGCCUAUGAGAGUGCAGUCAUCCCCGGGAACGAGAGGAAGUGGUGGGACAUCAGAAACCUCCCAGAGACCGGCAGGCCAUCCGUCUGAGUGACCUACAGAACAUCCUGUCUACCAUGAAUGUUCCAUCAGGACCUUCCAAAGACCAGAUUGACCUGGUGAGUGCUCUGAACCCUGAGUCGAUGAUCCCCAUACUGGCAAACAAGGACGUUCAGGAGCGACUGAUCAAGUUCCUGCCGGAGGGCGAGUCCCUCCCCAAAACUGAGGGAGAGCUACGUAACACUGUGCAAUCCCCACAGUUCCAGCAGGCACUGUCAUCGUUCAGUGCUGCCUUGCAGUCUGGUCAGUUGGGCCCCCUGAUGUCACAGUUUGACCUAGGAGAGGACGUAGCUAAUGCUGCUGCCGAGGGAGAUCUUGAUGCAUUUGUGAAGGCUAUGCAGGAACAGCAGAAAAAGAAGGAUGAUAAGGGAGAGAAAAAAGAAGAAACCAUGGACACUGAUUGAAAAUAAUACCUGAAAUACCCAAGUUACAUUUAUGUGAAAUAACUACAUUAUGAAUUCAUAGCAAUGGGUAUAUUUCAGACAUUUUAAAAGUGUUGGACAAAAAUUAAAAAAUUGUGAAAUAAAACUUGGCUAUC
rnacentral:misc_RNA from 1 species